rnacentral:rRNA from 1 species
GAUGAACGCUGGCGGUAUGCUUAACACAUGCAAGUCGAACGGGAUUCUUCGGAAUCUAGUGGCGGACGGGUGAGUAACGCGUGAGAAUCUGCCUUCAGGUCGGGGACAACAUUUGGAAACGAAUGCUAAUACCCGAUGUGCCGCAAGGUGAAAGGUUAACUGCCUGAAGAUGGGCUCGCGUCCGAUUAGCUAGUUGGUGGUGUAAAGGACUACCAAGGCGACGAUCGGUAGCUGGUUUGAGAGGACAAUCAGCUACACUGGGACUGAGACACGGCCCAGACUCCUACGGGAGGCAGCAGUGGGGAAUUUUCCGCAAUGGGCGAAAGCCUGACGGAGCAAUACCGCGUGAGGGACGAAGGCCUGUGGGUUGUAAACCUCUUUUCUCAGGGAAGAAGCUCUGACGGUACCUGAGGAAUCAGCAUCGGCUAACUCCGUGCCAGCACGCGGUAAU